UAAGGAAUAUUGGUCAAUGGACGCAAGUCUGAACCAGCCAUGCCGCGUGAAGGAUGAAGGUCCUCUGGAUUGUAAACUUCUUUUAUCUGGGACGAAAACGGGAUUUUUAUCUCAAUUGACGGUACCAGAGGAAUAAGCACCGGCUAACUCCGUGCCAGCAGCCGCGGUAAUACGUAGGACCCAAGCGUUGUCCGGAUUUACUGGGUGUAAAGGGUGCGCAGGCGGAUGGGUAAGUCAGGGGUGAAAGUCUGCAGCUUAACUGUAGAAUUGCCUUUGAUACAGCUCAUCUUGAGUGUGGGAGAGGUUGAUGGAAUUCCAGGUGUAGCAGUGAAAUGCGUAGAUAUCUGGAAGAACACCAGUGGCGAAGGCGGUCAACUGGCCCAUAACUGACGCUCAUGCACGAAAGCGUGGGGAGCAAACA
rnacentral:rRNA from 1 species